rnacentral:lncRNA from 1 species
UAUUCUUCCAAAAUCACCAGCAAACAUACCUUCCCUCUUUCCUCAGGAACCUCCAAAUGGCCCAAAAGCAAGAAAAUAGAAGCGCCCUCCUCAUCACAAAAAAAAAGAACUGAGAGAAAAUGUUUCAAGAUGUUCCACUGGAAAACCUCUCCAGGUUCACUCCACAGUCUAUCAAUUUUUAGCAGCAAUUCUCCAACCAUCAGUUAUGGGUGCUUUAGCCCCUAGUUCUAUUCCUUCAAGGCCCCGCAAUGCUGCAGAAAGGGAAGAGGAGGAAUGGGUGAACACGUAGGGGUCUUAUGCUGGCGCCUGAGGUGGCAGACGUCACUUCCACACCUGAACCCGGUGUCUUGAACGUGGGCCUCACUGAAACUGAAGGGUAAGCUAAGAGUCUGGGGGAGCCACUAGCCUCUCCUGAAGCUACUUAAGAGUCACGUUUAUCAGCAGAUCCAAGGGACUUCCCUCAUCCACGACAUCUCAGUUUCACUAGAAAGAGCACCUUAGUGCUUAUCCUCUAUAUUCAUGCUUACACUUACAGUAAGUUCCUAAAGACAGCAUUUCAUAUCAAAUUAAAUAGUACUUUCUUCUCUGUGCCCAUAUAUAGUGGGAAAUAGGUAUAUUACCUAUUUUGGGGAUUUUAAUUACAGUAUAAAAAUAACAGCUAAUGUAACAUAUGUGGGGAUAAAUUAAUGAGCUU